rnacentral:sRNA from 1 species
CGAAGGCGGAAACAGACACUGAAACGGGGCGUUCCAGGCCGCAGCCCACAUGCCCCACGGGGGAGCAGCUAACCCCAGAGAACUGUGGUCCCCUGAUACCCCAGGAACGCAUAUCUGAGCAGGCUUUCCAGCUUCCCUGUGUGUGAGGCAGGAAUGACCUCUGUCUUCAUUUUACAAGCCUGGCCAGCAGCACCAGUAACAUCUACACGCAGUCAGACGUGAAGUGUGUUCACAUCUAUGAGAACCAGCGCUGGAACCCUGUCACAGGCUACACCAGCAGGGGUCUGCCCACGGACCGGUACAUGUGGAGCGACGCCUCGGGGCUGCAGGAGUGCACGAAGGCUGGCACGAAGCCCCCGUCCCUGCAGUGGGCCUGGGUUUCCGACUGGUUCGUGGAUUUCAGCGUUCCGGGGGGCACGGACCAGGAGGGGUGGCAGUAUGCCAGCGACUUCCCUGCCUCAUACCAUGGGUCCAAAACGAUGAAGGAUUUUGUGAGGAGGAGGUGCUGGGCCAGAAAAUGCAAGCUGGUGACCAGUGGGCCCUGGCUGGAGGUGCCCCCCAUCGCCCUCAGGGACGUAUCCAUCAUCCCGGAGAGCCCAGGUGCCAAGGGGAGUGGGCACAGCAUCGCCCUCUGGGCCAUCAGCGACAAGGGGGAUGUGCUGUGCCGCCUGGGCGUGUCGGAGCUCAACCCUGCGGGCUCCUCCUGGCUGCACGUUGGCACCGACCAGCCCUUCGCCUCCAUCUCCAUCGGGGCCUGCUACCAGGUGUGGGCCGUGGCAAGGGACGGCUCCGCCUUCUACCGGGGAUCCGUGUACCCCUCGCAGCCAGCCGG